rnacentral:rRNA from 1 species
AGUGAACACUGGCGGUAGGCCUAACACAUGCAAGUCGAACGGCAGCACAGUAAGAGCUUGCUCUUACGGGUGGCGAGUGGCGGACGGGUGAGGAAUACAUCGGAAUCUACUUUUUCGUGGGGGAUAACGUAGGGAAACUUACGCUAAUACCGCAUACGACCUACGGGUGAAAGCAGGGGAUCUUCGGACCUUGCGCGAUUGAAUGAGCCGAUGUCGGAUUAGCUAGUUGGCGGGGUAAAGGCCCACCAAGGCGACGAUCCGUAGCUGGUCUGAGAGGAUGAUCAGCCACACUGGAACGUGGACACGGUCCAGACUCCUACGGGGGGCAGCAGUGGGGAAUAUUGGACAAUGGGCGCAAGCCUGAUCCAGCCAUACCGCGUGGGUGAAGAAGGCCUUCGGGUUGUAAAGCCCUUUUGUUGGGAAAGAAAAGCAGCAGGUUAAUACCCCGCUGUUCUGACGGUACCCAAAGAAUAAGCACCGGCUAACUUCGUG